rnacentral:rRNA from 1 species
UACGUAGGGGGCAAGCGUUGUCCGGAUUUAUUGGGCGUAAAGAGCGUGUAGGCGGCCAGGUAGGUCCGCUGUGAAAACUCGAGGCUCAACCUCGAGACGCCGAUGGAAACCAUCAGACUAGAGUCCGGAAGAGGAGAGUGGAAUUCCUGGUGUAGCGGUGAAAUGCGCAGAUAUCAGGAAGAACACCCGUGGCUAAGGCGGCUCUCUAGUACGGUACUGACGCUGAGACGCGAAAGCGUGGGGAGCGAACAGG